rnacentral:misc_RNA from 1 species
GUAUAUUAUAUCAAAUUCAAUUCAACAUUCUAAACACAUUUGUGAAAAAUGAAACAUAGACCUGGAGAUGCAAGGAAAGCCACAGCAGUCCUCAAUCUAUACAAAAUAACUCCAGGUCUACAAUAUGUGCACAGUUUGGAAGAUGAAAAAACAACAAGCGUGCACAUGUCCAGAAGGACCAGCAACAGCCCAUUUUUGUUUUUAUUCGAUAAUGAUCCUUCCGCAGGUUCACCUACGGAAA